UACGGAGGGUGCGAGCGUUGUCCGGAAUCACUGGGCGUAAAGGGCGCGUAGGCGGCCUGAUAAGUUAGGGGGUGAAAUCCUGCGGCUUAACCCGCAGGGCUGCCUUCUAAACUGUCGGGCUAGAGCACGGUAGGAGGCAGAUGGAAUUCCCGGUGUAGCGGUGGAAUGCGUAGAGAUCGGGAAGAACAUCAGUGGCGAAGGCGGUCUGCUGGGCCGUUGCUGACGCUGAGGCGCGACAGCGUGGGGAGCAA
rnacentral:rRNA from 1 species